rnacentral:pre_miRNA from 1 species
UCUUGUGGAUGAGCAAAGAAAAUGGUUUCAUAAAACAGAAUCUACUUCUGGUGAAGAUGCUGUGAA